AAAUUUGCAGUGGGGAUUUACCAAAUGAAUCUCACAUCUGCACAGAGAACAAGAAAAGGGAGGUGAAAGGAAGGAACUAACACAGAUUUCCAGUGGGGAUUUACAAGAUCGAGUCUCUUUUUUUUUUUUUGUAAGGGGAUUUACAAGAUCGAGGACAAAUAGCAGUUGCAGAUCAAAUUAAUGGUCACAGAAAGCAACGGCCUUGAGACGGAUCAAGAUUGCUUAAACGCCACUAUGCAUGCACCCUACAUUCGCCCAUUUUCAUAAUAUCUGAAACCCCAACUCGUUAAAAUCUCCCGUAUGGUGACAGCAUGCCCUCUCUCUACCCCACAAGAGCCUUUUUAGCAGCACAAAAAUUUAAUCCUUCAGAGGAACCACAAAUUCUGAGAGCUUCAAUGAAUCCGAGGAAAUCCUAAAAACUACAUCUUCAGCGAAGUUGUUACAACUGUGAAAUAGGCAGGGGCCGCGCGAACGCAGGCCCCCUCUACCACAAAUUAUGACGUAGGCUCGACCACUUGGGCCGACCUUAGGCGGACGCCCCUCCUCAGUGCAAUGGAGGUCGUCAACCUAGGCCAUGGACCUUCUGGAUCGCCCAUCGACCCCGUCCAGUAGAACGGACCCUUUUGAAUUCGUCCAUGCUUAUAUCGUCAAAUUGUUUAUAUGCGGAGGUAAAGCGCCACCAACCAGUAGAGAUGAAAGCCACAGAUCACCGCAGAGUUGCUGUGCCGAGUCGAGUCAGAGGAGGUUCGAUUUCAAAAUUCGUUGCUUUGCUGUAUUUUCAAGGGCAAACAUGAAGACAGAUACAUUCCAGUAUAGUUAUAUUUUGUUGGGAACUUGUCAAAACAGACUUUGCCCACAGAUUAUUCUGCCACGGGAGAGGUGGUCAUGUGCCUUGGCUGCCAAAGUUUGUCCCUAAGAUUGGCCUUGAAAUUGUUAUGAAUGGAUUUUUAAGCUUCUCAAGGGCAAAUGCUACAGAACAUGGAAAUGAUCCUACGCAAGCUGGCUCUUUUGUUGAGUAUCUGUAUGAUUUGAGAGAGCAAGGCAAACAUGAAACAUCAAUGGCUUCUGGUUUUCGCUGUCACGGAUUAGUGCAGUUAUUUGGCAGUAGAAUGGGCUCUCCAGCAGAGACUGCCCUUUGCCAUGCAUUGCUAUCUCACUCCAAUCUCAGCCAUCAAUGCAUGCAAACAUGCUAAUAAAUCAUGGGGCUUGAUAUCACAGAUCUUCUUAUGGUUGUUAAAGAUGGGCUUUUCAUUCUUUUAUGUAUUGAAGUAACGACUUCAUCUGUUUUUGACUUGGAUCCAAUCCCUAUUUGUAGUGUACAACAUAUUAACAUGGAAAUUGCAUUUUUUAUCUGUAAACUUACUUGUUGGUAUGGAUGUGCUUGAAUAGGAGAAGAGUAGGGAUAUGUAUGAGACUUUGCAAGGUGGUUUAUGGGAAGCGUCUUGAUGAAUUAUGGUUAAGUAAAGCAAAGAACUCAUUUUGGAUGGCAAUGAGAAAUUCUCAGCAGAAACUAGAGAAAAAUACAGCAUUGAUUUCCUGAGGUUUCAAUCAGAGAUAUAGGAGAGUUUAUCCACUCUUACAGAAAAUCUCGUCAAGCAGUUUGCUGGGUAUCUUAUGGCGAUUUGGUUUAUGGCAGACAAGUUGCAAUUUAUCUAAUGCCUGACUUGCAGCUUGGAAUGCAUUAUCUAAUGCCUGUGUUCUUCAACUUUUGCCACCUUUAGCAAAUUGUUUUGCCAACUAUGAAGGGUACCUUGAACCUGUUCAGUAAUUUUUCAGGACACCGGAAGGAUGUCGGAGACUUAUGUUAAGUCAUGGUUUUCUGGUGCUCUUGACAGAGCUGCAGCUCAAAGAUCAGCGAUGUUUAUGCUGGCAUGUGUACCAUCUGUUGUAUUUAUGUGAAGCGUCAAACGGCACCGUUUAUGGAAGGGGGCAGGAGAGUCUCUGGGCAACCCUCAAGGCUGCCCAAAAUGGCAGCAUUUUGGGCCCUUGAGCGGAUGGCCAAAACGGAAACCCCAUUUCACUCGGCGUGCUUCAUUUUGUCUUUUAGCCUGCCUCUUCCCCGAUCGUCGAUGCUACUUGUUGUGCCUUUAUACGAUGCAAUCUGCACCGCUGGUGUCCUCUUUAUAUCAUCUACAGUCGUCUCGAGAUGUGCAGCGCACAACCUCCGUUUAUCUGCUUCAUUUAGGAUUUGUUCGAUCAUUCUCUGAUUUUCAUUCUUUCUAUAUAGUUGAUACGCAUAUUUUUCUCUCUAGGGUGUAAGCCUCUAAUUUGUAGCUUGUGGUUAUGGGGCUGAUUUAACUUGAGGGUCGAUUUGUAUAGUGAGAUUAGAGAGUGAUUUUUGUGUAAACUAAGGCUAUAAUCAGAUUUUCUUCCGAUAGUGCAGUGAGCUCUCUUUGCCGGAGCUCAACGUGGACGUAGCCCUCUUUAAUGGGUGAACCACAGUAAAAUCACUUAUGUUCUUUGUUUUGUUCUGCUUUACUUUUCUGUGUAUGAGUUUGGUUGUUUCUAUCAAAUGAUUUGUGUAUGAAAUUGGUCUGUUUAUUUCUAAAGGGUUGAGCUUAGUCUCUUCCCAACACCAUCCAUCUCACAUAUUUCUUUUUUCACAAUUCCCCCGGUUAAAGUUUAUUAUCCUUCCCUAAGGAGCUUGCCAAGUUUCUCCCGCAAACAGCAACAUGAGGUUUGGCUAUUACUUGAGAUUUGAGAACCAUUGAACUUUAUUAAAAAUUGUGUGCUUUUAUGAAUUUGAAUGACAGGAAAGAUGAAGAAACAGGUGUCUCCCUGCUCAGUUGAGCAUACAGAGAGUCAAUCUAAUAUGGUUCAUGCAUCGGAGGGUGUUCACUCCCACAUCAAGCAAUUUGGGAACGGCCACGCCAAAGGAGCUGCUUUAAAGUGAAGCUAAAGAGAGAUGGUAAGGCAUGCAGCCGCAGGGUGAGCACAGAGCGAACUAUUCUUUAGCCUUUUACCAAAGAACACCGUGUGCUCGCUGCAGAUAGCGGCAUACGCCUAUUUUUGGAGGGGCUUUCCCUUUCUGGGUGAGCUCCCAACAAUGCCAGUUUCAAUUUAUAAUCUGCCAGUUAAUGCACAGUUAUGCUUUGCGUUUGCUUGUGGUUACUCAUAUCUUGCGUUUCCGCCUAUAGAAAAAUAAGAGUUGAAAGUAGAGAAGCUAUUUGCU